rnacentral:lncRNA from 1 species
CACUUGUGAGGCAGUGGGUUCCAUCCUCAGCGCACAUAAAAAUAAGUAAAUAAAAUAAAUUUAUAAAAAAAGAAAUUUAGAAUUAGAUCAGAGAUAUCUGCUUUUCUCUUAAGUGUAAUCUUGGAAGCUAUUCAGCAGUUUUCCCACUGGAGAGAUAUAAGUAAACAAUGUUGGUUAGCAGACAAAGAAAACUGUAUAUUUAGCCAGGUGUGGGGGUGCAUGCCUGUAACCCCAGUGACUUGGGAAGCUGAAGCAGGAAGAUUGCAAGUUCAAGACCAGCCUCAGUAACUUAGCAAUGCCCUAAAGCAACUCCCAAGAGAGCCUGUCUCAAAAAAAUAAAAAGGGCUGGGGAUGUAGCUUAGUGGUAAAAGGUCCCUGGGUUAAAUUCCUAUUAUAAAACAAAACAAAGGAAGAAAAAAAAAGAAAAAGAAAACCAUGCAGACUCAGAAAAGAGCAGAGUCAGGUUAAUGAAAACAUGGUGGUUAAGUGUUUUAUAUAUAUAUAUAUAUAUAUAUAUAUAUCAAAAUGGCAUUUUACUCAGCCAUAAAUAAGAAAGAAAUUAUGUUAUUUGUAUCAAAAUGGAUGGAACUGGAGACAUCAUGCUCCAUGAUAUAUAAGCCAUAGACUGAGAAAGUCAAAGGUCAUAUGUGGGAGCUAGAAAGAAAAAAAAAGUGGGGGAAGAGACCUCAUGACAAUGGAAGGAAGACUUGUAGAGGAUGGAGAUUAGGGGAAGAAAGAGAGGAGGAAAAGAGUAGGUAUGGGGGAUAAAACAGACCAAACUAUGCUAUGUGGAGGUACCAAUAUAUGAUGAUGAAGGCUCCUAUUAUGUAUAAUUAUGGUUCACCAAUAAAAAUAUUUGAAAAAUAGCCAGCACCCUUCGAGCACACCUGUAAAUGCCAGCAAUUUAGGAGGCUGAGGCAACUUAGACCCUUAGCAAUUUAACAUGAUCAUGUCUCAAAAGCUGGAAAGGACUGGGGAUGUAGCUAAAUAAUAAAGAACUCCGAGAUUCAAUUCCCAGUACCCCCUAAAAUUUUAAAAAUAAAAGUCAUAAGAUGAAAAUGGGCAGAGAUGAGAGAUUAGAAAUCUUCAUGGUAGUCCAGGUUCCAUAUCAUUCUUAAGGCAUUCCUUGGUUUUUCUUAGACAACCCCAUAUCCUUACUAUUCUAUUUUUUUAAAGAUAGAGUUGGUUUAAAAACUGUUUAUUAUUCUCUAAAUAAAACACAAAAUAGGGCUGAGGAUGUGACUCAGUAGUCAAGAGCCCCUGAGUUCAAUUCCUGGUACAAAAAAAGAGAGAAAGAAAGAAACUGCUUAUCAUGAAGAAAAUGUUAACUAAUUCAAGAACUGGUACCAAAAUGGGAUGUGGCACAUUGUAGGCCCUAAAAUGUGGACAGAGAUAGAAGGUCUCUUUCAUGUGUUGCUGGGAAGGGAGCUUGGCUUUCCAUGUUAUAUGACAGUGAAACAGCACUGCCAACAAACAAACAACAACAACAAACCCAGUAUGUCCCUGUACUAGCACACCAGCAAUACCUGUGAAUUGUUACAAAUGUAACAUUCUUGGGCCUCACUCCAGACCUCCAGGAUCAGAAACACUGGGUGUGUGGUUUAAGUGGUGACAAACAUAAAAAAAAUCCUGACAUUAGUUAAAGCAAAGCAGUGAGAACAGAUUUUAUUCAGUAACUACUGACAGUAGGGGAAAGGGCUGAACUUUGCUCUGAUUUGCACAUAGAUGACUGGGUGUUUUACUUUAUGUAUUUAUUUUUCAGCACUACAGAUUGAACCAGAGGCUCUAUACCACUGAACUACAUCCCCAGAACUUAAAAACAACAACAACAAAAAGGGUCUCAAUUGCUGAGCAUUUAAGUUGCAGAGGCUGGCCUCGAACUUGCAAUCCUCUUGCCACUUAGCCUGUUGACUCUGGGAUUACAGGCAUGCACCAUCACACCGGGCUAUGACUGGGCAUUUUAAAGAGAGAAUGAGGGAAUAGGGGAUAGGAUUAAGUGGGGGCUCAGUAGUGUCAGGGAAGUAAAAAAUUUGUGAGUACUGGUCAGUGUAAAUGUGAUUGGGCCAGCUGUGUACGGUGGCUGGCAAUUACUGAAGUUAGAUUUCUAUUCCUGCCAGAAACAGAGACAGAGGCCCUAUCCUUCCUGAUAAUUACAUUUCUAUGGAAUUGCUUUCAGAUCCUUAGAUAUCACUCUGGGUUUAGGAGAGGCAUACAUAACCCAAAGGUACAGAGGAAGGAUUCACAACUGUAAGCCUUUUAAAUAAAUAAUAAAGUGAGGCUGAUGGCCCGUCAGGUGUGUGCUAGAACAAGCUGUAAAUUCUUUUUCUAGCCCUGUGAUUUUCCUGACAGGAAUCUGGGAGUGGGCUGGGUCUCCUCAGAGAUUUGACCUUAGGCUACUAGAAGUCCU